GUGUGACAGGCCUGUUAGAAUAACAGAGACAUUACUCACCUGGUCUCCUAUUCACAGGGAGACUCCUCUCUGAUGAGACACCCUCUGGAUACAGUGAUGUGGGGGAGAGUGAGGGAGACCCCACUUCAGGUGUCCCCCACACUGGCCCUGGAGUGGACAGGGUCCUGCCCAAACUGCCCUCUGAAGAGGGAGCCCCUGCUCCUGACAGGACUGACUACGAUGAUGUUGGGGAUGAGUCUCAGGGAGAGGAUGGGUGCUGUGAGACUGACAGGGCUGUCUGGAAGAAGCUCCUCCUGCAGGUCUAGACACAGAAGAGCUUCACCAACAGAGUCACACAGUCUUAGAGAAGCUGGGAGCAUUGAGACUGUCUAUAAUAAUAAUAAUAAACUUUAUUUUAUAUAGCGCCUUUAAAGGUGGCUUCUCAAAGCGCUUUACAGGAUGACAACAACAAUAAAUAAAAAGAAUACACAAGAUAAAGAUAUAUACACCAUUACAAUAUACAGAGGAGACAUGGAUGGUGGUACUAAGAAAAGCAGAGGGGUGGAGAAUGGAACAAGUUAAGUAAAGGCUGUAUUUGAAGGAGUUUAGAGAAGGUGACUCUCUAAUAUCCUUGGGCAGAGAGUUCCAGAGCUUAGGGGCAUAACAGGAGAAGGCCCUGUCACCCAUUCUAUGUAGAUGGGCUUGGGAGACAGUAAGG
rnacentral:lncRNA from 1 species